UUUUUUUCUUUCUUUCCUGAUUUUCUGCUUCCCUUUGGGUUAAUUGAAUAUCUUCAUUUUUCUUCUUUUGUUCACUGAUUAGCCAUAAAUUUUGUUUUUAUUUAUUUGCUUCUUUAGUUUUGUUUGAUGUUUAGCUUUUUACUGAUUUUAGAAUUUUUUACUGCUUUAAAGUUUCGAGAAACACUCUGAUAGAUAUAAAAUGUCAGCUACAUAUAUAAUUUAUACUUUUUCUAACAGCCAUUUAAAUAAAAAAAAUAAAUAAAGUUAAAAGAAGCAGGCAAAAUUAAUUUUAAUUUUUAAAAAUUUAAUGCAAUAUACCCAAAUUAUCAUUUUAACCUAUAACAGUAUUAAAAUCUUAAUGAGAAAUUUGAUAUUAUUUUUUCCAUUAUGUCUUUGAAAUCUGAUGUGCGUUUUACACUUGUAGGCUAUUUCCUUUCAAAUUAGUCACAUUUCAAGUGCUUGAGAGCUACUUGUGGCUAGGAGCUACAACAGCAGACAUGGAGUUUUAUAGAAUGCAUCUUUAACUUAUCACAAGUCAUAUUAUGCCACUUUACAUAAAGUAGAAAAACCUUAAACUUGCAUUUCUCUCCUCUUGGCCUUAAUGCUGUUAGUAUCAUAUGCUUUACUUUUGUAUGUUAUAAACUUAACAAUAAAUUGUUAUUACUGUUAUUAUUUUUUGUUUUGUUACAUUGUAAAGAGAUUUUUAAACUAUGAAAAAUGUCUUGUAUAUGUACUCAGAUUAACCAUUUUCUUUUAAGGUAGAUUCAGAAUAUUUUCAGCUUAAAGGACUUCCUUUAGUAUUUCUUGAAGUAGAAAUAAAUCUACUGGUGAUUAAUUCUUCCAACUUUUGGGUAUCUAAAAACAUCUUUAUUUUUCCUUCAUAGUGAAAAAUAUAUUCACAGCAUAUAAAACUGUAGGUUGAUCAUUGUUUUUCUCUUCAGUACAGGCAUACCUCAUUUUAUUCCACUUUGUAGAUAUUAUAGACAUUGUGUUUUUUACAAGUUGAAGAUAUGUGGCCAACCUGCAUUAAUAAAGUCCGUUGACACUAUUUUUCCAAAGGAAAUUGCUCAGUUCACCUGUGUCACAUUUUGGUAAUUCUCACGAUAUUUCAAACUUUUUCACUAUUAUUUGUUAUGGCAAUCUGUGACCAGAGAUCUUUUUUUAAUUUAUUUUUUAUUAAAGUAUAGUUGAUUUACAAUGUUGUGCCAAUUUCUGCUGUACAGAAAAGUGACCCAGUCAUAUAUAUAUAUAUACAUGACUUUUUUCCAUAUAUUAUGUGAUAAGUGAUCUUUGACAUUAUUCUAAUAGUUUUGGGGCACCAUGCACUGCACACAUAUAAGAUAGAAAAUUUAAUUGCUAACUGUGUGUGUUCUGACAGCUCCACCAACCCUUCUCUUAUCUCUCUCUCUCCUUGGACCUCCCUAUUACCUGAGGCACAACAAUUUUGAAAUUAGGGAGUUCCCUGGUGGUGCAGUGGCCAAGGUUCUGGCACUGUCACUGCUGUGGCUUAGGUUGCAGCUGUGGCACAACCAUGGGUUGAUGGUUUGAUCCCAUGGCAGAAUUUCUGCAUCCCAUGGCAUGGCCAAAACAAACAAACAAUAAAAUGGAAAAACAUUUUAAAAUAAAAAAUUAAAAACAAUAUUAAAAUUAGUGUAAUUAGUAACUCUACAAUGGCCUCUAAAUGUUCAAGUGAAAGGAAGAAUUGCUUUGUCUCUCACUUUAAGCAAGAGCAAGAAAUGUUUAAACUUAAUGGAGAAGGCAUGUCAAAAGCCAAGACAGGCCAAGAUCUAGGCCUUUUGCAUCAAAGAAUUGGACAAGUUUUGAAUGCAAAUGAAGAGGUCUUAAAGGAAAUUACAAGGGCUGCUCUAGUGAAAGCAUGAAUGGUAAGACAGUGGUAAGAAAGCAAAACAACCUUAUUGCUAUUAUGAAGAAAGUCUGAGAGGUCCGGAUAAAACAAGCCCUUAAACCAAAGCCUCAUCCAAAGCAAGGCCCUCUCUUCAUUUCUAACAAGGCUGAGAGGUGUGGAAACUGCAGGAAAAAAAAGUCUGAAGCUAGCAGAAGGUGGGUCAUGAGGUUUAAGGAAAGAAACGGUCUUCAUAAUAUCAAAGUGCAAGGAGUUCCCAUUGUGGCUUGGUGAUAAUGAACCUGACUAGCAUCCAUGAGGAUGUGGGUUCAAUGUCUGGCAUCCCUCAGUGGGUUAAGGAUCAGGCGUUGCCAUGAGCUGUAGGUUGCAGAAGCGGCUUGGAUUCUGAGUUGCUGUGGCUAUGGCCAGUAGCUGUAGCUCUGAUUUGACCCCUAACCUGGGAACUUCCAUAUGUCACAGGUCCAGCCCUAAAAAGCCAAAAAAACCAAGAAGAAUUAUGCUAAAUUGACUCUGCCUACUCUAUAUUUGGAACAGCAAAGCCUGAAAGAUAGCACAUCUGUUUAUAGCAUAGUUUAUUGAAUAUCUUAAACCCACUGUUGUAAUCUAUUGGAAAAAAAAAAAAAGGUUCCUUUUAAAGGUUACUGCUCAUUGACAAUACACCUGGUCACCCAAGACCUCUGAUGGAGAUGUAAGAUUCAUGGUUUUCAUGCCUGCUAACCCAACAUCCAUUCUGCAGCCUAUGAAUCAAGGUGUAAUUUUGACUUUUAAGUCUUAUUAUUUAAGGAAUAUAUCUUUCAUAUAUUAUAAAAAAUAUAUACAGUCUCUUUUUAGGGCCACACCCACAGCAUAUGGAAGUUCCCAGGCUAGGGGUUGAAUCGGAGCUGUAGCCACUGGCCUACACCACAGCUCACAGCAAUGCCAGAUCCUUAACCCACUGAGUGAGGCCAGGGGUGGAACCUGCAUCCUCAUGGAUGCUAGUCAGAUUUGUUUCCACUGAGCCAUGAUGGGAACUCCAAGAAAUAUAUUUUGUAAGGCUGUAGUUACCAUAAAUAUGGAUUCCUCUGAUGGAUCUGGGCAAAGUCAAUUUAAAACAUUCUGGGAAGGAGUCUCACUGUUCUAGAUGGCGGGAAGAAAAUUCAUGAUUCAUUGGAAGAGGUGAAAAUAUCAACAUUAACAGUAGUUUGGAAGAAGUCGAUUCCAACCCUAAUGGAAGUGGUUCAAGACUUAAGUGGAAGCAGAUGUGAUGGAAAUAGUAAGAGAACUAGAAUUCAAAAUGAAGCCUGAAGAUGUGACUGAACUGGUCCAAUUUCAUGAUAAAACUUGAAUGGAUGAAGACUUGCUUUUUGGGGAUGAGUAAAGAAAGUGGUUUCUUGGAGUUUCCAUUGUGGCUCAGCGGAAAUGAACCCGACUAGUAUCCAUGAGGAUACGGGUUCGAUCCCUGGCCCCACUCAGCCGGUUAAGGAUCCAGUGUUGGUGAAAGCUGUGGUGUGGGUUGCAGACACAGCUUGGAUGUGGUGUUGCUGUGGCUGUGGCAUAGGCAGGCAGCUGUAGCUCUGAUUUAAUCCUUGGCCAGGGAACUUCCAUAUGCCAAAGGCACAGCCCUAAAAAGCGAAAAAAAAAGCAAAAAAAAAAAAAAAAAAAAGCAAGAAAAAACAAAAGAAAUGGUUUCUUGAUGGACUCUACUUCUGGUGAAGGUGCUAUGAAGUUUUUGAAACCACAAGAGUUUAAGAGUUUAAUAUAUUUUGUGAACUUAUUUGAUAAAGCAGCUGCAGGGCUUGAGAAGACUGACUUCUAUUUUGAAAGAAGUUCUGUGCAUAUAAUGCUAUCAAACAGCAUUGCAUGCGACAGAGAAUGCAGAGAACAGAGAAAUAAUUUGUGAAAGGAAGAGUCAACUGAUUUAAGAGAUAGACAUUGCUUUUUAGACAUAAUGCUAUUGCACACCACACUUAAUAGAUUAUAAUUUAGUGUAAACAUAGAUAAACUUUAUAUAAACUGGAAAUCAAAAAAUUACGUGACUCAUUUUAUUGCAAUAUUUGCUUCAUUGCAGUCCUCUGGAACCAAGUCUGCAAUAUCUCUCAGGUAUGCCUUAUCUUAAGGAUAUUACUCCACUAUCUCUGGGCUUACAUUGUUUCUGACAAGAAGUCUUCUGUAGCCUUGUGAUGCAUCCUCUUUCUUUGUAAGGUGUCUUUUUUCUCUGGUUGCUUUUUAAGACUUUAUCACUGGCAAUUCAAUUACGUGCCUACAUGUAAUUUUUAUAGUUUCUUGUGCUUGGGAUUUCUUGAGUUUCUUCAAUCUGUUGGUUUAUAGCUUUUACCAGAUUUGGACAAUUUUGGGCCA
ensembl:lncRNA